UUAAGUUAAUAAGGGCGCACGGUGGAUGCCUUGGCACUAGGAGCCGACGAAGGACGUGACAAACGACGAUAUGCCUUGGGUAGCUGUAAGUAAGCGAUGAUCCAGGGAUUUCCGAAUGGGGGAACCCAACAGGUAGUACCUGUUACCCACAUCUGUUAAGGAUGUGAGGAGGAAGACGCAGUGAACUGAAACAUCUAAGUAGCUGCAGGAAGAGAAAGCAAAAGCGAUUGCCUUAGUAGCGGCGAGCGAAACGGCAGGAGGGCAAACCGAAGAGUUUACUCUUCGGGGUUGUAGGACUGCAAUGUGGACUCAAAGAUUAUAGAAGAAUGAUUUGGGAAGAUCAGCCAAAGAGAGUAAUAGCCUCGUAUUUAAAAUAGUCUUUGUACUUAGCAGUAUCCUGAGUACGGCGGGACACGUGAAAUCCCGUCGGAAUCUGGGAGGACCAUCUCCCAACCCUAAAUACUCCCUAGUGACCGAUAGUGAACCAGUACCGUGAGGGAAAGGUGAAAAGCACCCCGGGAGGGGAGUGAAAUAGAACCUGAAACCGUGUGCCUACAACAAGUUCGAGCCCGUUAAUGGGUGAGAGCGUGCCUUUUGUAGAAUGAACCGGCGAGUUACGUUAUGAUGCGAGGUUAAGUUGAAGAGACGGAGCCGUAGGGAAACCGAGUCUGAAUAGGGCGCCUUAGUAUCAUGACGUAGACCCGAAACCAUGUGACCUACCCAUGAGCAGGUUGAAGGUGCGGUAAGACGCACUGGAGGACCGAACCAGGGCACGUUGAAAAGUGCUUGGAUGACUUGUGGGUAGCGGAGAAAUUCCAAACGAACUUGGAGAUAGCUGGUUCUCUCCGAAAUAGCUUUAGGGCUAGCGUCGACAUUAGAGAUUCUUGGAGGUAGAGCACUGUUUGGGUGAGGGGUCCAUCCCGGAUUACCAAUCUCAGAUAAACUCCGAAUGCCAAUGAAUUAUGGUCGGCAGUCAGACUGCGAGUGCUAAGAUCCGUAGUCGAAAGGGAAACAGCCCAGACCACCAGCUAAGGUCCCAAAAUAAUUGUUAAGUGGAAAAGGAUGUGGGGUUGCACAGACAACUAGGAUGUUAGCUUAGAAGCAGCUAUUCAUUCAAAGAGUGCGUAAUAGCUCACUAGUCGAGUGACCCUGCGCCGAAAAUGUACCGGGGCUAAAACAAUUUACCGAAGCUGUGGAUACCUUUAUAGGUAUGGUAGGAGAGCGUUCUAUGUGUGAUGAAGGUAUACCGUGAGGAGUGCUGGAACGCAUAGAAGUGAGAAUGCCGGUAUGAGUAGCGAAAGACAGGUGAGAAUCCUGUCCACCGUAAGACUAAGGUUUCCAGGGGAAGGCUCGUCCGCCCUGGGUUAGUCGGGACCUAAGGAGAGACCGAAAGGUGUAUCCGAUGGACAACAGGUUGAUAUUCCUGUACUAGAGUAUGUAGUGAUGGAGGGACGCAGUAGGCUAACUAAAGCAGACGAUUGGAAGAGUCUGUCUAAGCAGUGAGGUGUGAAUUGAGUCAAAUGCUUAAUUCUAUAACAUUGAGCUGUGAUGGGGAGCGAAGUUUAGUAGCGAAGUUAGUGACGUCACACUGCCAAGAAAAGCUUCUAGCGUUUAAACAUACUCUACCCGUACCGCAAACCGACACAGGUAGUCGAGGCGAGUAGCCUCAGGUGAGCGAGAGAACUCUCGUUAAGGAACUCGGCAAAAUGACCCCGUAACUUCGGGAGAAGGGGUGCUGACUUAAAGUCAGCCGCAGUGAAUAGGCCCAAGCAACUGUUUAUCAAAAACACAGCUCUCUGCUAAAUCGUAAGAUGAUGUAUAGGGGGUGACGCCUGCCCGGUGCUGGAAGGUUAAGAGGAGUGCUUAGCGUAAGCGAAGGUAUGAAUUGAAGCCCCAGUAAACGGCGGCCGUAACUAUAACGGUCCUAAGGUAGCGAAAUUCCUUGUCGGGUAAGUUCCGACCCGCACGAAAGGCGUAAUGAUUUGGGCACUGUCUCAACGAGAGACUCGGUGAAAUUUUAGUACCUGUGAAGAUGCAGGUUACCCGCGACAGGACGGAAAGACCCCAUGGAGCUUUACUGCAGUUUGAUAUUGAGUGUCUGUACCACAUGUACAGGAUAGGUAGGAGUCUAAGAGAUCGGGACGCCAGUUUCGAAGGAGACGCUGUUGGGAUACUACCCUUGUGUUAUGGCCACUCUAACCCAGAUAGGUGAUCCCUAUCGGAGACAGUGUCUGACGGGCAGUUUGACUGGGGCGGUCGCCUCCUAAAAGGUAACGGAGGCGCCCAAAGG
rnacentral:rRNA from 1 species